UGAGUAAUGUCUGGGAAACUGCCUGAUGGAGGGGGAGUAACUACUGGAAACGGUAGCUAAUACCGCAUAACGUCGCAAGACCAAAGAGGGGGACCUUCGGGCCUCUUGCCAUCGGAUGUGCCCAGAUGGGAUUAGCUAGUAGGUGGGGUAACGGCUCACCUAGGCGACGAUCCCUAGCUGGUCUGAGAGGAUGACCAGCCACACUGGAACUGAGACACGGUCCAGACUCCUACGGGAGGCAGCAUG
rnacentral:rRNA from 1 species